rnacentral:rRNA from 1 species
UUGGAGGGCAAGUCUGGUGCCAGCAGCCGCGGUAAUUCCAGCUCCAAUAGCGUAUAUUAAAGUUGUUGCAGUUAAAAAGCUCGUAGUUGAAUUUCGGGGUUCUACCGUUGGUCGGGCUUUGUCUGUACUGGUGUGUAGAAUUUCUACCUUCUGGGGAACCAUCAUGCUAUUAAUUUAGCGUGGUGGGAAACCAGGACCUUUACCUUGAAAAAAUUAGUGUGUUCAAAGCAGGCUUAUGUCUGAAUACAUUAGCGUGGAAUAAUAGAAUAGGACGGUGGUCCUGUUUUGUUGGUUUCUGAAUCACCGUAAUGAUUAAUAGGGAUAGUUGGGGGCAUUAGUAUUCAAUUGUCAGAGGUGAAAUUCUUGGAUUUAUUGAAGACUAACUUCUGCGAAAGCAUUUGCCAAGGAUGUUUUCAUUAAUCAAGAACGAAAGUUAGGGGAUCGAAGACGAUCAGAUACCGUCGUAGUCUUAACCAUAAACUAUGCCGACUAGGGAUCGGACGAUGUUAAUUUUUCUUGACUCGUUCGGCGCCUUACGGGAAAC